AUGAAUGAAGCCAUUUGUUGGGAUAAGCAAAUCAGCGAAAUUCAACAGCUGGACACAGAGGAAUGGAAAUCUAUUCCUGAACACCAUUUGUUGCAUCCCUGCCUCUGCCCUGGUGGAAGCACUGCUGCACUCCAGGUCUCCUCUACCCUCUCUCCUCCAGGUAACUUUUUGUCCUCAGUGUUGAUUUUGUUACAAUUCACUCCAAGUUUGCUGGUCUGCUUUUUAUAUAUUCAGUUCCAAACAAACACCCUCAGCUCAGCCAUUCUUUCAACUUGCAGAAACUUUGUUUUGUUGGAAUCUGGAAUCUCUGUGCAAACAUCUGUUGACACCAAAGCUCACAGCAGCAGUCAUAAAGACCCCAGUAGUAAUUUACAGCAAGCAUGGAAUAUAUUGAGUUGGAAGGGACCCAUAGGGAUCUGCAAGUUCAACUCCAAGCUCUUUCUUACUUUCUUGUUGAUACAGAUGCCAUCUAAAAGUACUGGUGAGGUAGGCAAAGAUACCAUAUUCUUCUUGGUACGAGGGAACUUUCCCAAUAGAAGACAGUUUAUUUCACAUGAACAACAUUUUGAGAGUGGACAGUCUGGACGUCUGAGGAGAGACAACAGUCCACAGCUACAGAAAGAAUGAUUUUAGAAUGAC
rnacentral:lncRNA from 1 species